CCUACGGGCGGCAGCAGUGGGGAAUAUUGCACAAUGGGGGAAACCCUGAUGCAGCGACGCCGCGUGAGUGAAGAAGUAUCUCGGUACGUAAAGCUCUAUCAGCAGGAAAGAAAAUGACGGUACCUGACUAAGAAGCCCCGGCUAACGACGUGCCAGCAGCCGCGGGAAUACGUAGGGGGCAAGCGUUAUCCGGAUUUACUGGGUGUAACGGGAGCGUAGACGGCAGCGCAAGUCUGAAGUGAAAUCCCAUGGCUUAACCAUGGAACUGCUUUGGAAACUGGGCAGCUUGAGUGCAGGAGAGGUAAGCGGAAUUCCUAGUGUAGCGGUGAAAUGCGUAGAUAUUAGGAGGAACACCAGUGGCGAAGGCGGCUUACUGGACUGUAACUGACGUUGAGGCUCGAAAGCGUGGGGAGCAAACAGGAUUAGAUACCCCAGUAGUC
rnacentral:rRNA from 1 species